rnacentral:rRNA from 1 species
UACGAAGGGGGCUAGCGUUGCUCGGAAUCACUGGGCGUAAAGGGUGCGUAGGCGGGUCUUUAAGUCAGGGGUGAAAUCCUGGAGCUCAACUCCAGAACUGCCUUUGAUACUGAGGAUCUUGAGUUCGGGAGAGGUGAGUGGAACUGCGAGUGUAGAGGUGAAAUGCGUAGAUAUCCGGAGGAAUACCAAAGGCGAAGGCAGUGUCCUGGCUGGUAACUGACGCUCAGGUGCGAAAGCUAGGGGAGCGAACAGG